rnacentral:lncRNA from 1 species
UUCAGUAUGCAUACAUAUGAUUUAUACCAUUAUCAAGAUUACACUAAACAUAUAUAUAAAAUGCAUCAAACACCAAUUCAUCCUCCAAGUUUAGUAGAAUAUAAACAAAUGACUCUCUUAUGCAUAUGUCAUUAAACUACAAGGAACAUCACCAACUCGCUGAAUCUGGGAUUACGGUUGAAUGUUGGAAAACAAAAUCGUCCUCUAAGUACAAUUCAGCUGUAUUGCUAUAUUCAAACAUUAGAACAUAAUAUAAAUCAUAUAAUACAAUGAACCAACAAACCAAAAAUUCGAAUGCAAGUUAACAUGUCAAUCUAGAAAUCCAAAUACAUCACUUGGUUAUAUAAUGAAUUUUUUUUUAUCUUAAAUCGAGCUAUCACAGUUGCAACAUAUACAUUUUUCAUAUAUCAAUCGAAUCGAUUAAAUUGUGCAAUAUCAAAUUCACAUUUCAGACUUAUAAUCCGAUAUCCGUCAUCCACCUUUAUUUCAAUUUCAUUUAUAAUAAAUUUCUUAAUUCCACAUAUGUAACAACUUAUUUCAUCACAAUACAGAUUCAAUUGCACAUUUAUAAUAAUAUACAAUAUUUUCAAAACUAUUCAUUUUAGUCCUUAUAGCUAGCAAUCAUUCCAAAUCAAUUCAAAUAAGCUCGUUUUAUCAUUUACAACGUACCUUAUGAUCUUACCAUGCAACACAAUUCAUAAAUGCAGCAAUUGAAAUGGUUUAGAUUAUAGAAAUACAAAUCAUAAACUCCGAGUUAUUCGUUGACGGCUUUAUCUUUUUCUCUUUUUUUUGAGGAAUUCGAGUGAACGUUAGCUAUAGAUUAACACAAACAUACCAAAUCAACCAUAUACAAAUAAUUUCACAUUCAAUUUCUACUUUAAGAAACUUUUUCAUUUUAUUCAAUUUAGUCUCUAAAAUCGGGACUAACAUAACUUUAAAUCUAGAACUCAAGUUUGCAGGCUGAUUUCACUAUAGUCCUAAAUGGACCUCCCAUUUCUCAUUUCUACCCAAAAUUUCAAAAUUUGUGCAUUUUAGUCCCUAUUGCACAAAACUGUAAAUUAACUUUACAAUUUAGUCCUUUUCACUAUUAAGCUUACAAUCUAUCAAUUUAGUACCUAAAACUUCAAGAAUUCAUCAAUGGCAUCUUUCAAAAACUUCAAAAGUUAUGAAAAUUAACAAACGAGUCAGCUAGGUUAAGCUCUCUAGAUUUAAAAAACAUAAAAAUUAUAUGAAAAAGACUAAAUUGCACUAAUCAAUUGAAGAUUUAUACUUUAAAACAGCUUGGCGGUGGGUUAAGAGUUUCUCCUUCUCCAAUUUCGGUUGAAAAGAUGAAAACAUUCAUGUUUUCUCUUUUUCCCACUUUCAUACUUAUGUUUUGUUUUAAUAAUUUAAUUUUAAUCUUUUUUUAUAUUAUAACUUAUACAUAUAUAUACAUUAAUCAUUUACCACCCACUAAUUCCAUUAUGGUAUAAUUAUCACAUUGGUCCUUAAUCUAAGUUUCCACUUUAAAAUGUAUAGUAAUUUAACCUUUACCACUUUUCACUAAUUUGAUAAAAUUACUUAUCCAAAAUUCAAUUCAUUUCUAAUAUAAUUUCAUAAAUAUUUAAUAAAAUUAUUUACAGUCUCGGUUUACGAAAAUAGAGUCUUGAAAUCAAAUUUUUUGAUGCCACUGACUUUCGAAUCGUUAUAUUAAAUCAACAGAGUUUUUGGAUAUUUCAAAGAAAAUUAAAUGAUAAAGUUGAAAGAUUAAGUAAAACUCCAUUUCAAUGUGUUUCUUUGUAGGAGGAGGAGGCCAGAUGAUGACAAGAUUAUUGGAAUACAAUUGUGAAGGAGGUCCCUAAAACUCUAAAACAUUUAAAUAGUACAAGGACCAACUUGUAACUUUUCUAAAGUUAAAUGACGAAAUUGUAAAAUUUCUAAUAAUUGAGUGAUUUUGAGUAUAGUUUACCCCAUGAUGAAUAGUAAGUUUGUAACGUCCCCUAACCUUAUACCGUCGUCGGAACAGGGUUACGAAACAUUACCAGUCAGUACAGUCCAAUUUCAGUCAUUAAUUAAAAUAAAUAUUCAUACUCUUCCUAGUUUUAAGAUGUCGUCCCUUUAAUGGGCCCUCGCGGUCCAAUAUGGACUAAUAAAUUCAAUUUGGAACUAAUUUAGAAUCAAUACGAAAUUUUUUUUUAUAUUUCAAAAUUCAUACUAUAUACCGUUGCCAACCAUAAUUUACUUAUUUCAUCAAUACUUUUACAACUUAAAUUACUCUCAUUAAACAUCCUAGGUACAUGCCAUUAUCAAUACUCAAUGUACUUUACCUCAUUGAAUUCGGGAUCGGCCUGAAAUGCUGAUUCGACAGUCUAGCCUUAACUUAACCUGCGCACGGAAACAAACCGUACGCUGAGUAUACACUCAGUGGUAUUUCUAUAAUCCGAACACUUGAUAAUAUAACAAUUAAACUUAAAAUCACAAUAACAAAUAUAACUAUUCAUUUAUUUAUUUUAUAGAUAAGUUUCAUUUACUUACCAUAAAAAUUCUAUACAAGCCAUAUAACAAACACAACAACAUAUUUGCUCAAUUCUUUUCAUUUGCUUACUGUAUAAAUUCUUUACAAUAUAUUCACAAUUCAUUUGUAUUCACACUUUACUUCUUAACAAUAUACCAUUUUAAUUCAUUCUAACAUCAAUCAUCAUCCAUUUGAACUUCACUCAUUUCAUGAACCUUUUGGUUCAUGUUUUCAAUCUCAUAUCUCAAUUUCAAUUCUCAAUUCAAUUUCUCAUUUCAUUCCAAUAGCUCAAUCAAUCAAAUCCACUCGAUUUAUCUUUUCACUUAUUUACCCCUAUUAACAAGACUCGGACUCUGAUAGAUACGUGGAUUCCUCCCAAACACACCAGAAUAUCCAACCCAAACACACCCGGAAUAUCCAACCCAAACACACCCGGAAUAUUAUAAAUCCUCCAUAACACACCAGUAUAUCAUAUCCUCCCAAACACACCAAUAAGGCAUUAAAUGCCUCUUCAGAUAAACCGAAGUAUAUAAUAACAGAAACAUCUUCUCGGCCGAACUACAAAUCUCCUCAUCACAUCAUAAAUCCAAUGGCAUGCCAUUUGUAUCCAAUCUGGUCCGAUACUGUUAAUAGGGUAUUCGAUUCACUUUCUCAAUUUAAUAAAUCUUUCAUCAAUAUACCAUUCUAAUAAUCACAUAUAUUCACACAUUUUCAUAAUUUCAUAUAUUUUCAUUCAAUUCAACAAAUAUAUUUCAAUUAUUCACAUUAAUUCAUAAUUCAAUACAACUCAAUUCACUUUUCAAUAUCAAAUAUUCAAUUAUCACAAAUCUCAUAUAUUCAUAUCAAUUCCCUCAUAUUCCAAUCAAUAUAAUUUUUCAAUAUAACAUUCAUUCAAUAUUCAAAUUUUUACAUAAAUCAUAUAUAUAAUAUAUAUUUCAAUCAAUAUAAAUUCAAUCAAAAUGAUUUCAAUCAAUAUAAAUUUGAUAAAUUCAUCACAUGCCAAAAUCAAUCCAUUUCGAUUGUAAACCAUCAUAAUUCUAACACUAACAAUUGUCAUAUGUAUAUAAAUAUAACAAAUAAUGACUGAGUUCGGAUUAUAGAAAUACAAACCGUAAUUUUCGAGCUAACUCCCGUCGACUUUGUCUUGUCCUUCCUUAGCCGAGAUUUUUGGUACCACAUUGACUACGAAAUUAAUACAAUUCAUAAUCAUUAAUACAUUACUAAUUUAUAUCUUGAGUUACAGAAUUCUAAAUUAAGAUCUGUUAAUUUUUCCUGAAACUAGACUCACAAAUAUUCUUACCAUAAAAUUUUCAGAAUUUUUGGUUUAGCCAUUAAGUACAGUUUAUUCUUUAAAUUCACCCCUAUUCUGCUGUCUGACAGUUUCGAGCUUUCUUCACUAAAAAUUAAUUAUCUCACAGUACAGAACUCGGAUAAUAUUCCCGUUGAUUUCUCCUAAAAAUAGACUCAUUAGGGAUUAUAAAAAUAUAACUUUAACCCUCUAAAUUAUUUUUCUCCAAUUUUUGGUGAUUUUCCAAAUUUAGAACAGGGGAACCCGAAUUCAUUCUGACCUUGUCUCACAAAAUUCAUUAUAUCUCAUAAUUUACAAUCCAACUGCUUAAACCGUUUCUUUUAUAAGAAACUAGACUCAAUAAUAUUUAAUUCCAUAUUUUAUUCAUCCUCUAAUUCAAUUUAUACAAUUUUUGGUGAUUUUUCAAACUUAGACUACUGCUGCUGUCCAAAAUAGUCUUAGUGCAAAAUGUUGAUUUUCUACUUUUAAUUUCAAUUUAAUCCUAACUAAAUUCACUUACUUUUCUAUCUUAAUUCAUACUUUAUUUCUACUCAAUUUUUAACCAAACUUAGACAUAAUUAUCUAUUUUUCAUCAUAAAACCAAAAUUUCGAAAUUCUUUCAAUUUAGUCCUUAAAGCAUAAAACUUAUGAAUCACUUUACAAUUCAAUCCUUAUUUCAUCUCUAACUUGAAUUUCUAUCAAUUUAGCCUUUAAUUCAUCAUUUUAGUCAACAUGAACAAUAUUUAUAAAUCUAAUAACUUUCAAAAUAUCAACUUAAUUUCAUCAAAACUUUGUUCUAAAGCUUUUAAAAUAUCAAAAUUAAGUAAAAAUGGCUAAAUUGACAUACCUAUUAAAGUUUAAAGCUUCAAAACCUUGAUUUUCCCUUUUCUCCCUUUCUUUCUUUCUUUCCUUUCUUUCUCCCCUGUUCUUCUCUGUUUCGUUUGCUUUGUUUUUCUUUUUCAUUUCUUUUAUUUCAUUUAUUUCU